ACGAACGCUGGCGGCACGCUUAACACAUGCAAGUCGAACGAGAGAAGAGGAGCUUGCUUUUCUGAUCUAGUGGCGGACGGGUGAGUAACACGUGAGCAAUCUGCCUUUCAGAGGGGGAUACCGAUUGGAAACGAUCGUUAAUACCGCAUAACAUAAUUGAACCGCAUGAUUUGAUUAUCAAAGAUUUAUCGCUGAAAGAUGAGCUCGCGUCUGAUUAGCUAGUUGGUAAGGUAACGGCUUACCAAGGCGACGAUCAGUAGCCGGACUGAGAGGUUGAUCGGCCACAUUGGGACUGAGACACGGCCCAGACUCCUACGGGAGGCAGCAGUGGGGAAUAUUGCACAAUGGAGGAAACUCUGAUGCAGCGAUGCCGCGUGAGGGAAGAAGGUUUUAGGAUUGUAAACCUCUGUCUUCAGGGACGAAAAAAGACGGUACCUGAGGAGGAAGCUCCGGCUAACUACGUGCCAGCAGCCGCGGUAAUACGUAGGGAGCGAGCGUUGUCCGGAAUUACUGGGUGUAAAGGGAGCGUAGGCGGGAUCGCAAGUCAGAUGUGAAAACUAUGGGCUUAACCCAUAAACUGCAUUUGAAACUGUGGUUCUUGAGUGAAGUAGAGGUAAGCGGAAUUCCUAGUGUAGCGGUGAAAUGCGUAGAUAUUAGGAGGAACAUCAGUGGCGAAGGCGGCUUACUGGGCUUUAACUGACGCUGAGGCUCGAAAGCGUGGGGAGAAAACAGGAUUAGAUACCCUGGUAGUCCACGCCGUAAACGAUGAUUACUAGGUGUGGGGGGACUGACCCCUUCCGUGCCGCAGCAAACGCAAUAAGUAAUCCACCUGGGGAGUACGACCGCAAGGUUGAAACUCAAAGGAAUUGACGGGGGCCCGCACAAGCAGUGGAGUAUGUGGAUUAAUUCGAAGCAACGCGAAGAACCUUACCAGGUCUUGACAUCGUAUGCAUAGCUCAGAGAUGAGUGAAAUCUCUUCGGAGACAUAUAGACAGGUGGUGCAUGGUUGUCGUCAGCUCGUGUCGUGAGAUGUUGGGUUAAGUCCCGCAACGAGCGCAACCCUUACUGUUAGUUGCUACGCAAGAGCACUCUAGCAGGACUGCCGUUGACAAAACGGAGGAAGGUGGGGAUGACGUCAAAUCAUCAUGCCCCUUAUGACCUGGGCCUCACACGUACUACAAUGGCUGUCAACAGAGGGAUGCAAAGCCGCGAGGUGGAGCGAACCCCUAAAAGCAGUCUUAGUUCGGAUUGUAGGCUGCAACCCGCCUACAUGAAGUCGGAAUUGCUAGUAAUCGCAGAUCAGCAUGCUGCGGUGAAUACGUUCCCGGGCCUUGUACACACCGCCCGUCACGCCAUGGGAGUCGGUAACACCCGAAGCCUGUAGUCUAACCGCAAGGAGGACGCAGUCGAAGGUGGGAUUGAUGACUGGGGUG
rnacentral:rRNA from 1 species